AAUGAACGCUGGCGGUGUGCCUAACACAUGCAAGUCGAACGGCAACACAGUGAUUUCUUGCUCUUACGGAGGGCGAAUCGCGUACGUAUCACGAAUGCAUCCUAAUCUACUUUUUCGUUUGGGUUAACGUAUCUGAACUUACUCUAAUAUCGCAGACGCCCUACCGGUGAAAGCAUUGGAUCGUCUCACCUUUCGCGAUUGAAUUAGCCGAUGUGGGAUUAGCUGGUUGGCGGGGUAAAGGCCCACCAAGUCGACGAUCCGUAGCUGGUCUGAGAGGAUGGUCGGCGACACUGGAAAUGAGACAAGGUCCAGAGUACUAAGGGAGGAAGCAGUGGGGAAUAUUGGACAAUGGGCGGAAGCAUGAUACAGCGAUACCGAGUGGGUGAAGAAGGCGUUGGGGUUGUAAAGACAGUCUGUUGGGAAAGAAAAGCAGAAGGUUAAUACGAAGCUGUAGUGACGGUACUCAAAGAAUAAGCACCGGCUAACUUCGUG
rnacentral:rRNA from 1 species